AGGAUGAACGCUGGCGGUGUGCCUAAUACAUGCAAGUCGUGCGGAAAGGCUCUUCGGAGUACUCGAGCGGCGGACGGCUGAGUAACGCGUGGGAACGUGCCCCAAAGUGAGGGAUAAGCACCGGGAACGGUGUCUAAUACCGCAUAUGGUCUUCGGAUUAAAGUAUUUAUACGCUUUGGGAGCGGCCUGCGUACGAUUAGAUAGUUGGUGAGGUAAAGGCUCACCAAGUCUACGAUCGUUAACUGGUCUGAGAGGAUGAUCAGUCAGACUGGAACUGAGACACGGUCCAGACUCCUACGGGAGGCAGCAGUAAGGAUCUCACAAUGGGGAAACCUGAUGGAGCAACACCGCGUGCAGGAUGAAGCCUUGGUCGUAAACUGCUUUUAUGAGUGAAGAAUAUGACGGUAACUCAUAGAAGUAAGGUCGACUAACUACGUGCAGCAGCCGAC
rnacentral:rRNA from 1 species